rnacentral:misc_RNA from 1 species
UUGGGAACUACCAACUCUUGUGUCGCUGUGAUGGAGGGGAAGAAUCCUAAAGUCAUUGAGAAUGCUGAGGGGGCAAGAACAACUCCUUCUGUGGUUGCGUUUAACCAGAAGGGAGAACGACUUGUUGGUAGUCCAGCCAAGCGCCAGGCAGUGACCAAUCCUGCAAACACACUUUCCGGGACCAAGCGUCUAAUUGGUAGACGCUUUGACGAUCCUCAAACACAAAAGGAGAUG